GGCUACCUGGCGCAAUGGUAGCGCGUUUGGCUUCGAUUGCCUCGCGUACUCUCGGGUCAUGGGAACCAAAAGGUUGCAAGUUCGAGUCUUGCGGUGGUCG
rfam:Dichomitus squalens LYAD-421 SS1 unplaced genomic scaffold DICSQscaffold_26, whole genome shotgun sequence.